rfam:Cricetulus griseus cell line CHO-K1, whole genome shotgun sequence.
UGGGCUAUAGCUCAGUGGUAGAGCACAUACCUUGCAUGUCUGAACCUUGAGAUUUAAUCCCAGUACCACAC